CCGAGUUUACAACUCCCAAACCCAAUGUGAACGUUACCAAACUGUUGCCUCGGCGGGAUCUCUGCCCCGGGUGCGUCGCAGCCCCGGACCAAGGCGCCCGCCGGAGGACCAACCAAAACUCUGAUUUUAUUGUGAAUCUCUGAGGGGCGAAAGCCCGAAAACAAAAUGAAUCA
rnacentral:misc_RNA from 1 species